rnacentral:tRNA from 2 species
GCAAUCCGGACGCUUUCGUCCACUCAGCCAUCUCUCC